rnacentral:lncRNA from 1 species
CUCACAAUGGAGGAUUCUUGGCUCAUGGUGGGAGGAGCUUAGCAUAUCAAGAGAGGUGGGAUGUGGGAAUCCCUCCUUCCUCAAGGGGUCCAAGCUCUGAGACCUGCUGAAGGGGCCACAUCUGCUUGGAAGGGGAAAUCCCAGAGAGCAUACUCCCAGCAUUUCAGGGAGCUCACCCUACUCAACCGUCUACUCACCAGCUAUCUGAAUGAGGUGGAGAAGGGGCCAGAACAAGAUGCUAAGCCUGGGAUGCCAAUGAAAUUCAUCAAAAAGUCAUUGUCUUCCCACUGGCUACUACAAUUAACCAGCAGAAAGAAGCUUUCCACUGCACCCCAAGCACAGAGUUUGUUGUUGUUGUUGUUGUUUGUUGCUUUUCCAGUACUGGGAAUCAAACUCAGGACCUUGCACUUACAAGGCAGCUGGACGCCCACCUCGCCUAAUAUGCCACUGCAAGGCUGUGUCCUCUUCCUCUCUGCAAAACUGAGCUUCCCAUGCCUGAAGGUCCCACAGCACCAAGGCCAGGGCUGGCUGGGGACACCACUCCAUAGGAAAAGUACUGGAGAUCCACCUCCUGAUGGUCCACGAGGGGCCUGGCCUUGUCCUCCUGGUCACCACCAUACCCUAGCACAGCACACAGUCUACCCUGGGCCCUCAAUCGACAUCCUGUGAAAGAAGGAAGGGAGGCAGGGAGUGGCAGGAGCACAUGUGACCAAGGCUACAACUGUCUGUGUCCGUGCUGUCCCCUGCCUAGACUGGGCAGGGCACUGCUGAAGCCAGGUACAGAUCCCCUGGCUUGAGGGAGUAGCAACAGAUCGGCA